CGAACCCGGGGAACUGAAACAUCUCAGUACCCGGAGGAAAAGACAUCAACCGAGAUUCCGUUAGUAGUGGCGAGCGAACGCGGACCAGGCCAGUGCCUGAUUGUAAAUUAGCAGAACAUUCUGGAAAGUUUGACCAUAGUGGGUGACAGUCCCGUAUGCGAAAAUGAUCAAUCAGGACUCGAGUAGGGCGGAACACGUG
rnacentral:rRNA from 1 species